CUUCGGUGAUGAUACGAUGACGAGACGGAGCAGGACUCGCUCUGCUUCUGAGGGUUCUGGAGCUCGUGCACGUUCUGUGCAUGUGUUUCAGUCCCUCAGAGCAGAGAGUCCUUUACACCUGAAGACAAAGAGGCAUUUGUCUGAGAAGG
rnacentral:snoRNA from 1 species